GACGAACGCUGGCGGCGUGCUUAACACAUGCAAGUCGAGCGAGAAACCCCUCUUCGGGGGGGAGUACAGCGGCGAACGGGUGAGUAACACGUGGGCAACCUGCCCCAAGGAGCGGGACAACCCGGGGAAACCCGGGGCUAAUACCGCAUGAUUCGUGGUGCCUCAAGGCACCUCGGUAAAUGGUAGCUUCGGCCUCCGCCUUGGGAUGGGCCCGCGGCGCAUUAGCUUGUUGGUGAGGUAAGGGCUCACCAAGGCGACGAUGCGUAGCUGGUCUGAGAGGACGAUCAGCCACACUGGGACUGAGACACGGCCCAGACUCCUACGGGAGGCAGCAGUGGGGAAUAUUGGACAAUGGGCGCAAGCCUGAUCCAGCGAUGCCGCGUGUGU
rnacentral:rRNA from 1 species